AAGAAAACAUAGCGUUUGUACAA
rnacentral:snRNA from 1 species